rnacentral:rRNA from 1 species
UAGGGAAUCUUCGGCAAUGGACGGAAGUCUGACCGAGCAACGCCGCGUGUGUGAAGAAGGUUUUCGGAUCGUAAAGCUCUGUUGUUAGAGAAGAACGUUGGUAGGAGUGGAAAAUCUACCAAGUGACGGUAACUAACCAGAAAGGGACGGCUAACUACGUGCCAGCAGCCGCGGUAAUACGUAGGUCCCGAGCGUUGUCCGGAUUUAUUGGGCGUAAAGCGAGCGCAGGCGGUUCUUUAAGUCUGAAGUUAAAGGCAGUGGCUUACACAUUGUAUGCUUUGGAAACUGGAGGACUUGAGUGCAGAAGGGGAGUGUGGAAUUCCAUGUGUAGCGGUGAAGUGCGUAGAUAUAUGGAGGAACACCGGUGGCGAAAGCGGCUCUCUGGUCUGUAACUGACGCUGAGGCUCGAAAGCGUGGGGAGCAAACAGG